rnacentral:rRNA from 1 species
AGAGGGUGCGAGCGUUAAUCGGAAUUACUGGGCGUAAAGCGCGCGUAGGCGGCUUCGCAAGUCGGGUGUGAAAUCCCCAGGCUUAACCUGGGAACUGCAUUCGAGACUGCGUUGCUAGAGUAUGGGAGAGGGAAGUGGAAUUUCAGGUGUAGCGGUGAAAUGCGUAGAUAUCUGAAGGAACAUCAGUGGCGAAAGCGACUUCCUGGACCAAUACUGACGCUCAUGUGCGAAAGCGUGGGGAGCAAACAGGAUUAGAUACCCUGGUAGUCCACGCCAUAAACGAUGAGAACUGGAUGUCGGGAGGGUCUGCCUCUCGGUGUCGUAGCUAACGCGUUAAGUUCUCCGCCUGGGGAGUACGGCCGCAAGGUUGAA